rnacentral:rRNA from 1 species
AUUGAACGCUGGCGGCAUGCCUUACGCAUGCAAGUCGAACGGCAGCACGGGAGCAAUCCUGGUGGCGAGUGGCGAACGGGUGAGUAAUGUAUCGGAACGUGCCCAGUCGUGGGGGAUAACGCAGCGAAAGUUGUGCUAAUACCGCAUACGAUCUAUGGAUGAAAGCGGGGGAUCGCAAGACCUCGCGCGAUUGGAGCGGCCGAUAUCAGAUUAGGUAGUUGGUGGGGUAAAGGCUCACCAAGCCGACGAUCUGUAGCUGGUCUGAGAGGACGACCAGCCACACUGGAACUGAGACACGGUCCAGACUCCUACGGGAGGCAGCAGUGGAGAAUUUUGGACAAUGGGCGCAAGCCUGAUCCAGCAAUGCCGCGUGCAGGAUGAAGGCCUUCGGGUUGUAAACUGCUUUUGUACGGAACGAAAAGUCUCUGGAUGAUACCUGGGGCUCAUGACGGUACCGUAAGAAUAAGCACCGGCUAACUACGUGCCAGCCGCCGCCGUAAAAC